AGCUCGCUUUCAGAGGUGAAGAGCAUGUGCACUGUGUUUUUGUGGGUGGGGCUUCUUUUUAGAAGCACGAGCAGCGA
rnacentral:lncRNA from 1 species